AAGGAAUCAUGCAAGGAUGCAAGCUGAAGGAAAGGACAACUCUCACAUCAGUGCAUUACUAAUUGUUUGACUUCAUCAUCAAGCACACCAGGUGGUGCAGUGGUACAGUGGAUAGCUCUGUUGCCUCCCAGCAAAAAUGUUUCUGGUUGGAGCAUCGGCUGGGUCAGUUGGCAUUUCUGUGUGAAGUUUUUAUGUUCUCCACUUGUUGGCGUGGGUCUCCUCCGGGUGCUCCGGUUUCCCCCACAAGACAUGCGGUACAGAUGAAUUGGCUCAGAUUGUGAAGGACCGGGAAUGCAACACCAGUUACUCUUAAGUCAAGAACCAAAUGAAGCACCAGAGUACAGAUUAUGGAGGUUCCUUGUAAAGAUGAACCCAGGGAAGGAUCGAAAGUGGAGAAGACCAGAUCAAGAAAGACCACAUCAAGAUCUGCGGUCAGUUCAAAGGAUGUUUUGCAUUGGACAGUUUUUUUUUUGGAUUUGACCCUUGCUCGCCCCUGACCUCAUUCUUGGACUGCCCUGUUGGAUUUUCAUUUAUUUAAUUUAAAUUUUUUAUAUAUUUUUUUGGUUCUAGGUAAAUGCUAAUAAAUAUUUAGUUGUAAUUAUUUAAGUAAUAUAUUUUUGUUAAAUAUGCAAUUUCUGUGUUUGUUCUGUCUACUCAUACUUGUUUAUCUUGUUUCUGUAAUUAUCAUUUGUUUAUUUGACCCCUGCCUCGCCUCUGAUCUUGUUUUUGGAUUGCCCUUUAUUUAUCUCUUUAAUUAUUGGUUCUGGCUAUAUGGUUAUAAAAUAUUUG
rnacentral:lncRNA from 1 species